rnacentral:rRNA from 1 species
UCAUGUUGGCAGCUAGCUCUUUGCAACUCUCACAUUGUCGCUCACUGAAGCUAAACAGGGCUGCGCUCGGUCAGUACCUGCAUGGUAGACUACAUGGGAAAACUUGGUUGAUGCAUGAA